AGACCCGAAACCCGGUGAUCUAGCCAUGGGCAGGUUGAAGGUUGGGUAACACUAACUGGAGGACCGAACCGACUAAUGUUGAAAAAUUAGCGGAUGACCUGUGGCUGGGGGUGAAAGGCCAAUCAAACCGGGAGAUAGCUGGUUCUCCCCGAAAGCUAUUUAGGUAGCGCCUCGUGAAUUCAUCUCCGGGGGUAGAGCACUGUUUCGGCUAGGGGGCCAUCCCGGCUUACCAACCCGAUGCAAACUGCGAAUACCGGAGAAUGUUAUCACGGGAGACACACGGCGGGUGCUAACGUCCGUCGUGAAGAGGGAAACAACCCAGACCGCCAGCUAAGGUCCCAAAGUCAUGGUUAAGUGGGAAACGAUGUGGGAAGGCCCAGACAGCCAGGAUGUUGGCUUAGAAGCAGCCAUCAUUUAAAGAAAGCGUAAUAGCUCACUGGUCGAGUCGGCCUGCGCGGAAGAUGUAACGGGGCUAAACCAUGCACCGAAGCUGCGGCAGCGACACUCAGGUGUUGUUGGGUAGGGGAGCGUUCUGUAAGCCUGCGAAGGUGGCCUGUGAGGG
rnacentral:rRNA from 3 species